AGUUAUGUGUUUUAAAGGCAAGAGCCAUGCUGGCAGCAUUCCCCAACCAGAGUAUGUGACAAUGACGGUGUAGGCUAGCAUUGUAAAUAAGAAUUUGUUAUUGAAUGACUUGCGUAGUUAAAUAAAUGAAAUACAUUUGUGAGGAGAUGCUCAAUAUGCCCAAUUUGAGCGAGAUUCCCAAAGGCUGGACCGUCGGCCUUUUCGCCCAUUCCAAUUUCACUGCAGUAGCGCUCGCUUCACGGGGCAGCAGGUAGCCUAGUGGUUAGAGCAUUAGACUAGUAACCGAAAGGUUGCUGGAUAGAAUCCCCAAGCUGACAAGGCACAUGCUUCCUCGUAAAUUUGAGAUGACCCCACUAGAGAAGUAAACAAGCCAAGCUAAAGUUAGGCUACCUGCCUAGCUAACUAAAACUUGGGAGAAAAACUCAGCGAUGGACCUUUCUGAAAAGAAGAGAGAACACUGCCACUUAGUAAUAACCAACCUGAAGCAUUUCAAGCCUUUUGUGCGAGUGAGUAUUUGGCACAUGGUGGUGGAAGGUAGAGACGAAGAGGCUGAGAGUGGAGAGACAGAGUCUGCUGGCAGGAAGACAAACAAGAAGACAUGUACUUGGGGGUUCAAGUGAGGAAUGGGAUCAGCUGGAAACACUACUUAUUAAACCGAUAGAAUGUUGUUUUACAUGAUACAUAUAGUUGAUUUCCUUUUUUUAUAGAUUUGCUUUUCGAUGAAAGAAGACAGCAGCUGAUUGACCCAUUGGCUGUAUAGGGUCAACCAUGAAUAGUUUCACAAAAUUAUUUGUUUUGUCUUUGACCACUAGCUAGAUCCAAAUAAGUGACAAUAAUGCAGAUGCUUUCAUCCAAAACACUGUGCAUGCAUUAAUUUUCUGUUCGUGGCUCUGGGAAUCGUACCCAUUGACUGUCAUGGUCGUUAUUUUUUUAGCUAUUUUAAAUUCGCUAUAGACUUCAUUUAACAGUUUAAUAGGCUAAUGCAGUAACUCAACAUGCAUGGUUGUAGGCUGCAUCACUUCUUCAACCUAUGUAGCAGAUUAUCCGGUGGAAGAUAUAGGCCUUCAUUUUUUUUUUAAUAAAGGUAUUCUAUGUCCUAGGCUACAACACAGUGCAAUGACGAAUGUAUUAUUGUUAGUACACAAUGAUUGUCUAGGCAGUGAUGUGGGCUAAUCAAACAUCCUUUUGUGUUUCAUGCCAAAAUAAAGUCCUGAUUAUACAACCA